rnacentral:rRNA from 1 species
CAAGUCGAGCGGCAGCGCGGGGCAACCUGGCGGCGAGCGGCGAACGGGUGAGUAAUGCAUCGGAACGUGUCCAUGUCGUGGGGGAUAGCCCGGCGAAAGCCGGAUUAAUACCGCAUACGCCCGAGAGGGGAAAGUGGGGGACCGCAAGGCCUCACGCGAUUGGGUCGGCCGAUGUCCGAUUAGCUAGUUGGCGGGGUAAAGGCCCACCAAGGCGAUGAUCGGUAGCUGGUCUGAGAGGAUGAUCAGCCACACUGGGACUGAGACACGGCCCAGACUCCUACGGGAGGCAGCAGUGGGGAAUUUUGGACAAUGGGGGCAACCCUGAUCCAGCCAUUCCGCGUGAGUGGAGAAGGCCUUCGGGUUGUAAAGCUCUUUUGUCCGGAGCGAAACGGGUGACGUGAAUAUCGUUGCCUACUGACGGUACCGGAAGAAUAAGCACCGGCUAACUACGUGCCAGCAGCCGCGGUAAUACGUAGGGUGCGAGCGUUAAUCGGAAUUACUGGGCGUAAAGCGUGCGCAGGCGGUUUUGUAAGCCAGAUGUGAAAUCCCCGGGCUUAACCUGGGAAUGGCAUUUGGGACUGCAAGGCUGGAGUGUGGCAGAGGAGACUGGAAUUCUUGGUGUAGCAGUGAAAUGCGUAGAUAUCAGGAGGAAUACCGAUGGCGAAGGCAGGUCUCUGGGCUGACACUGACGCUCAUGCACGAAAGCGUGGGGAGCAAACAGGAUUAGAUACCCUGGUAGUCCACGCCCUAAACGAUGUCGACUGGUUGUUGGGGGUUUGACACUCUCAGUAACGAAGCUAACGCGUGAAGUCGACCGCCUGGGGAGUACGGCCGCAAGGUUAAAACUCAAAGGAAUUGACGGGGACCCGCACAAGCGGUGGAUUAUGUGGAUUAAUUCGAUGCACCGCGAAAAACCUUACCUACCCUUGACAUGUCCA